AGUGAACGCUGGCGGUAGGCCUAACACAUGCAAGUCGAACGGCAGCACAGUAAGAGCUUGCUCUUACGGGUGGCGAGUGGCGGACGGGUGAGGAAUACAUCGGAAUCUACUUUUUCGUGGGGGAUAACGUAGGGAAACUUACUCUAAUACCGCAUACGACCUACGGGUGAAAGCAGUGGAUCUUCGGACCUUUCGCGAUUGAAUGAGCCGAUGUCGGAUUAGCUAGUUGGCGGGGUAAAGGCCCACCAAGGCGACGAUCCGUAGCUGGUCUGAGAGGAUGAUCGGCCACAUUGGAACUGAGACACGGUCCAGACUCCUACGGGAGGCAGCAGUGGGGAAUAUUGGACAAUGGGCGCAAGCCUGAUCCAGCCAUACCGCGUGGGUGAAGAAGGCCUUCGGGUUGUAAAGCCCUUUUGUUGGGAAAGAAAAGCAGCAGGUUAAUACCCCGCUGUUCUGACGGUACCCAAAGAAUAAGCACCGGCUAACUUCGUG
rnacentral:rRNA from 1 species